CUGUUCCUUGCUCUUUAGUUUUUUUCAUUUUUUGUUUUCCAUUUUUUAGUGUUUAAUUCUUUUAUCGUGGUUCCCCUUUGACUCCAGAACUUUACACUCUCUUUCUUCUUAUUAUUUUUUCUUUGUUUUUCUUUAGUUUCUUCUCCUCGCAUCAGUUUCUGACAUAAGGCAUCGCCUUGGAGUCUACACUAGCACAUUGGCCAUGGGUUCUUGCACGGGACAAAGUCCAGCACAUUCCCUCAUGGUUGCGUGUUUUGGAGAUAGCAUCCCCCAAAGGAUGAAAGUGAGAGCUUGGCAGAGAUGCAAGAGUGGAGAGAUGUGGCCUUGAGCUGGGAGGGAGAGAGAAAGAGUAAUAUAUUCUUGAAUAGAGUAGAUGCUUUGAAGUUUUCUCUUAGCUUGGAUUGAAGUUCAGGAAAUUUUCACUGCUUGACCAAAUCUCUCCAGGUUUUCAUACGAGGAGCCACCUCUAGACACUGCUCUGCGAGCCUCCUCGCUCAGCUUCUUCACGUUAAUCCUCAAAUGCUCACUGUCAGUUCCCAUGAAUCGCUCCACCACCUCCACAAACUCGUCCCUCGCCAUCACCUCGGGAGGAUCCGGCAUGGUCACGCACGAGAACUUGAGACCGAUCUUCCAGUCCUCCACUAUCAACUUGCAGUUUAGAUUCUGCUCGGCGACGCACGGCCAGCAAAGAAUGGGCACCGCGGAUGCUACGCUCUCGAGGAUGGAGUUCCAGCCGCAGUGACUGAGAAAUCCAGCGGUGGAAGGGUGGCGGAGGAUGUCCACCUGAGGAGCCCAGCUCACAACCAGUCCAAAGCUCCUCACGGUCUCCUUGAAACGCUCCAGGAACUCGGGCUCCAUGCCGUUGACCGACUUGGGUCGGAUGGCCCAGAUAAACGGACGCUGGAGAAGCCUCAGUCCCUCGGAGAACUCCUUGAACUGAUCGAAGCUGAGAGUCGCGAUGCUGCCCAAGGAAAUGUAGAGAACCGAGCCGGGACUUUGCUUGCCGAGCCAGGAUAAACUCUCGGUGUCUUCCUUCCACAAGCUUGCCUUGUUAGAGCCGGGGACCAUGGUGAAAACAGGACCCACUGCGAUUGCUUUGGGAGAGAUGUCUCGGAGGGCUUGGAAGGUGGCACUGCCCUCGAGUUCUUCGAACGAGUUGAUCAAAACCCACGACGUUGUGGCGAAGCUCUUGGCUCUAGCGUAUCUGCGAGCGAAUCCUGAUUCGUCAAUGGUAGAAAGGUCGCACGGGAGGCCCCAGAUUGGCAGUGGUGACAAGCCGUCUACGUAAGUGAUGUACUUUUCAAUGGAACGAUCUGGCGGAACGCGUUAGUGCUUCUCGAAAGAAGGACAAAUAAAAAAGAAGAAAGAAGCCUUACCUUGGACUGGAACGUCUCCCUUCUCCAGCAUUCGCGGAAACGAGCAAUCGAGCAAAACGCAAGAGGCACUGGCGGUCCAGAACUUGACCUCUGGGAUUCCGGUCCUUCUUGCUACUUCCGCGGACCACGGAAGCAACAUAUCCGAGAUGAAGCACGAGACCGGAGGAACGAGAUCAUCGUCUCUGGCCAUGCUCCUGAUGAGCAAGCUCUCCACUGGACCCUGCAUCGCCAUCACCGCCUCGAAGAAGAUUUGCCGCGUCUCCGGGGCCGUGAAGUCGGCCUCGCUCGCUUGGAUCCCGGGGACCGUCUCGAAACGAAUGCCGCCGCCAUAGCCAAAGCUCUCCUCCUGCGAAACGACGUCCUUCAAGUCCCUGUGGUUGCCCUCCGUGUUGAUGAAAGUUAUGACGAAGCCUCGCGAGGCCAGAGUUCUGGAGAGAUGGAGGAAUGGAGUGAUGUGGCCUAGAGUUGGAAUGGGAAGAACCGCUGCGUGAGGAGCGAGCCCCUCGGCACCAGUAGAAGAACCCAUUGACGAAGAACAAAGAAAAUUCAAGCUUACUUCGUGAGUGCUGUGGAAGGGUUUCUCACAUUACCUUUUCUGGAUAAGCUUGAAAUCGCUCCAAGGCCGAGCUUAAGAAUCAGUGCGUUUUGCAAAAGGUUUUAAUCUAGUGUUCUCCACACUUCUAAUCUCCUUAUUGCACGCGGUGGUUCAGGAAUUUAAUACUCCUCUUGAUUACUCCCUCAAGCCAUCUAUUUCUUUGGGAAGGAAAAUAACACUUCCACCAACCUAUACACUUUCAAGUAUCAUCUUUAUGUGCUCUUGGUCUGUCUGUGCAUUGGCCCCGUCCUCAUACCCGAUGAUCGUCCUGCCACCAGCUGCGGCAUUGGAUAUAAAUUACCUUAUGAAGCUUGACGAACUUGUCCAAACUUUCAUAUGAAGAUCCUGCCUUCUUUCACUGUUGCUCCCUGAGCAGCCUCGCUGAGCUCCUUCACAUUACAUCUAAAGGAAUCGCCAUUCUCAGCUCCCAUGAGCUGCUCCACCACCUCCGCAAACUCGUCCCCGCCACCACCUUGCGAGGAUCUCUCAUGGGCGAGAACUUAAGAUCGAUCUUCCAGUCUUCCACUAUAAGCUUGCAGUUGAGAUUCUGCUCGGCAACUCAUUGCCAGCAAAGGAUUGACACUGCUGAAGAUACACUCUCGCAGCCUGUGGAAGGAUGCUGGAGGAUUUCCAAUUGAGGAGCCCAGCUCACAACCAGUCCAAAGCUGAUCACUUGCAAGGAGAGCCUUGAAAGCCUCCAGGAACUCGGGCUCUAUGCCAGGGACCAACUUGAGACAAAUGGCCAUUAUAACUGGCCUCUAGAACUCUUCCAAUCUUGCUAGUAUUUCUUUAAGCUGUUCCUUGCUCUUUAGUUUUUUUCAUUUUUUGUUUUUCCAUUUUUUAGUGUUUAAUUCUUUUAUCGUGGUUCCCCACUUUACACUCUCUUUCUUCUUAUUAUUUUUUCUUUGUUUUUCUUUAGUUUCUUCUCCUCGCAUCAGUUUCUGACAUAAGGCAUCGCCUUGGAGUCUACACUAGCACAUUGGCCAUGGGUUCUUGCACGUGACAAAGUCCAGCACAUUCCCUCAUGGUUGCGUGUUUUGGAGAUAGCAUCCCCCAAAGGAUGAAAGUGAGAGCUUGGCAGAGAUGCAAGAGUGGAGAGAUGUGGCCUUGAGCUGGGAGAGAGAGAGAAAGAGUAAUAUAUUCUUGAAUAGAGUAGAUGCUUUGAAGUUUUCUCUUAGCUUGGAUUGAAGUUCAGGAAAUUUUCACUGCUUGACCAAAUCUCUCCAGGUUUUCAUACGAGGAGCCACCUCUAGACACUGCUCUGCGAGCCUCCUCGCUCAGCUUCUUCACGUUAAUCCUCAAAUGCUCACUGUCAGUUCCCAUGAAU
rnacentral:lncRNA from 1 species